UUAGAAUCCACGAAAAUAAAGUUUUAUAAAAUGUUAUAAAAUUUGUAAUCUUAAAUAUUAUUUUAGAUACUUGAAGUUUCUUAAAUCAUUGAUCAAAUAAGGCUCUCCUAAAAAAUAAAUGUAAAAGGGUUAGAAAUUUAAACAACAACGUCGUCAAGGACGGAUUCAUUGGCUCACACGCUCCUCUUCUUCUUUUCGCAGUCACAAUCCAAAACAUUUUCAAACUCUUAAAAAAUAUGUCAUAUUCAGAAUUCAGUGUGUCCUUUGUCGAGAUUUCAAUUUGAGUCUGUUAUCAGUAGACUUGAACCACUUUUUUAAAUAGCUGAAAGGAUAAACAAACCUUCCGGUUUGGAUCCAUACCAACAGAGUGAUAACCCUCGAUGAAGUUGGAGAGUUCUUUGUGACUCUUUAACGAAAAUAUCUCAAGAUUAAGAGUAAGUGUGAAGAAAGCAUUUUACCAAAAAAAAAAAAAACCAUAUUGACACUUGUAGAUGUGUCUUUGUCGCCACGCUUGAAACCUACAACUCAAUCCAGAGAACAAGAUUUGAAGUAGAUUAGAAGAAAGCUGCGAUGCCCCAAAUGGCCUAUACGAAAUUAAAAUCAGUGAGAAUCACUGCCAAGAAUCAAGAUUCAACGACCAUGCAGCCAAGAGUUAAACCACCAUCAAGAACCAUAUAUAAUGACACUCUGCAAUUGAGCAAAGAUCCUCCAAGUUUCUUUUCUUUGGCCUGUCUCUUCAUGAGGUUGUCGACUCUUGAGCUUUACUUGUACUGUAUGUUAGUAGAAACACAUCUUUACAAUAUUUAUAAUUCAUUUUUAUUUACUAACUAAAUAAAUCACACAUAUAUAUAGAUUUGUUUCAAUUUACUAAGACUAUCAUUUCCCCUAACUAUUGUAAUUGUCUUGUCUUCCAUUUCAUUUAGACUUUAAACGCAAGAAGUUUAAAUUUCA
rnacentral:lncRNA from 1 species